rnacentral:rRNA from 1 species
UACGUAGGUGGCAAGCGUUGUCCGGAAUUACUGGGCGUAAAGGGCGCGUAGGCGGCCUCUGCAAGUCGACUGUGAAAUCUCCGGGCUUAACCCGGAAGGUCAGCCGAUACUGCAGGGCUAGAGUGCAGAAGGGGCAACUGGAAUUCUCGGUGUAGCGGAUGAAUGCGUAGAUAUCGAGAGGAACACCUGCGGCGAAGGCGGGUUGCUGGGCUGACACUGACGCUGAGGCGCGAAAGCUAGGGGAGCGAACGGG